CAAAAGAACCAACCUGGUAUGCCUCAGUAGCGGCGAGUGAAGCGGCAAGAGCUCAGAUUUGAAAUCGUGCUUUGCGGCACGAGUUGUAGAUUGCAGGUUGGAGUCUGUGUGGAAGGCGGUGUCCAAGUCCCUUGGAACAGGGCGCCCAGGAGGGUGAGAGCCCCGUGGGAUGCCGGCGGAAGCAGUGAGGCCCUUCUGACGAGUCGAGUUGUUUGGGAAU
rnacentral:rRNA from 1 species